CGUAGCUCAGCUGGAUAGAGCAUCAGACUACGAAUCUGAGGGUCAGGAGUUCGAAUCUCUUCG
rnacentral:tRNA from 1 species